rnacentral:rRNA from 1 species
GACGAACGCUGGCGGCGUGCUUAACACGUGCAAGUCGAACGGAAAGGCCCUGCUUUUGUGGGGUGCUCGAGUGGCGAACGGGUGAGUAACACGUGAGUAACCUGCCCUUGACUUUGGGAUAACUUCAGGAAACUGGGGCUAAUACCGGAUAGGAGCUCCUGCUGCAUGGUGGGGGUUGGAAAGUUUCGGCGGUUGGGGAUGGACUCGCGGCUUAUCAGCUUGUUGGUGGGGUAGUGGCUUACCAAGGCUUUGACGGGUAGCCGGCCUGAGAGGGUGACCGGCCACAUUGGGACUGAGAUACGGCCCAGACUCCUACGGGAGGCAGCAGUGGGGAAUAUUGCACAAUGGGCGGAAGCCUGAUGCAGCAACGCCGCGUGCGGGAUGACGGCCUUCGGGUUGUAAACCGCUUUCGCCUGUGACGAAGCGUGAGUGACGGUAAUGGGUAAAGGAGCACCGGCUAACUACGUG